rnacentral:tRNA from 1 species
GCCUCUGUAGCUCAGUGGAUAGAGCAGCGGUCUUCUAAACCGUUGGUCGGGAGUUCGAAUCUCUCCAGGGGCGCAA